AAAUGCUACAGCUGUUUUAGAAUUUGUCUAGCAGGUUUUAUAGAUUUUACCAGAAAACCUUC
ensembl:snRNA U7 U7 small nuclear RNA